rnacentral:rRNA from 1 species
CCCUUAGAUGCUCUGGGCCGCACGCGCGCUACACUGGUCGAUGCAACGAGUUUCUUUCCUUGGCCGACAGGCCUGGGCAAUCUUUGAACAUCGAUCGUGAUCGGGUUAGAUUCUUGUAAUUUUUGAUCUUAAACGAGGAAUUCCUAGUAAACGCAAGUCAUCAGCUUGCAUUGAUUACGUCCCUGCCCUUUGUACACACCGCCCGUCGCACCUACCGAUUGAAUGGUCCGGUGAAAUCUCCGGACUGGCGUGAGUCGGAGCAAUCUGACAAACACCGGAAAGUUGAUUAAACCUUACCAUUUAGAGGAAGGUGAAGUCGUAACA